rnacentral:rRNA from 1 species
AUUGAACGCUGGCGGCAGGCCUAACACAUGCAAGUCGAACGGUAGCACAGAGAGCUUGCUCUCGGGUGACGAGUGGCGGACGGGUGAGUAAUGUCUGGGAAACUGCCCGAUGGAGGGGGAUAACUCCUGGAAACGGUAGCUAAUACCGCAUAACGUCGCAAGACCAAAGUGGGGGACCUUCGGGCCUCACACCAUCGGAUGUGCCCAGAUGGGAUUAGCUAGUAGGUGGGGUAAUGGCUCACCUAGGCGACGAUCCCUAGCUGGUCUGAGAGGAUGACCAGCCACACUGGGACUGAGACACGGUCCAGACUCCUACGGGAGGCAGCAGUGGGGAAUAUUGCACAAUGGGCGCAAGCCUGAUGCAGCCAUGCCGCGUGUAUGAAGAAGGCCUUCGGGUUGUAAAGUACUUUCAGCGGGGAGGAAGGCGGUGAAGUUAAUAGCUCCACCGAUUGACGUUACCCGCAGAAGAAGCACCGGCUAACUCCGUGCCAGCAGCCGCAGUAA